CAGUAGCCGCGGGAAUACAGAGGGUGCGAGCGUUAAUCGGAUUUACUGGGCGUAAAGCGUGCGUAGGCGGCUUCUUAAGUCGGAUGUGAAAUCCCUGAGCUUAACUUAGGAAUUGCAUUCGAUACUGGGAAGCUAGAGUAUGGGAGAGGAUGGUAAAAUUCCAGGUGUAGCGGUGAAAUGCGUAGAGAUCUGGAGGAAUACCGAUGGCGAAGGCAGCCAUCUGGCCUAAUACUGACGCUGAGGUACGAAAGCAUGGGGAGCAAACAGGAUUAGAUACCCCCGUAGUCCCUGUCUCUUAUAC
rnacentral:rRNA from 1 species